UACGUAGGGUGCGAGCGUUAAUCGGAAUUACUGGGCGUAAAGCGUGCGCAGGCGGUGAGCUGUGUCCGAUGUGAAAGCCCCGGGCUCAACCUGGGAAUUGCAUUUGAGACUGCGUAGCUAGGGUGCGGAAGAGGGAAGCGGAAUUUCCGGUGUAGCGGUGAAAUGCGUAGAUAUCGGAAGGAACACCAGUGGCGAAAGCGGCUUCCUGGUCCAGCACCGACGUUCAGGCACGAAAGCGUGGGAGCAAACAGG
rnacentral:rRNA from 1 species